CCAAGCCCAAUAUUGGAGUUAAUUUGGGUGAAUUUUAUCAUAAAAGAAUAUAGUAUGAUUUUUCCAUUUUUGUUGAACUAGUUUAGGGUAUUCAUGGAUCAAAGCUUUCAAUUCAUUUCAUUCUAGGCCCAAUAUGGCCCAAAAUGUUGAAAUAAAUUAGUGUGGGUCCAAUUAGAGCCCAAUUAGGGUUCUAAGCCCAUGAUAGUCUAAUUGGAAGCUUAUUGGUCCAUUUGGAUCCAAUAAGGGAGUCCUAGUCCAAAGUGGACUUAAACAAGGACUUCUAGGGUUUCCAAUUGUUUGGUGACUAUUUGUAGUACUUGUAUAAUGUAUUUGAUUGAAGUUUUUGAAGUCAUAAUCAUAGGUGUUACACAUGUUCUUAAGUUUUUGAUUCACAUUAGCUUGAAUGUAUAGAUUACAUAACACAAAAUUUCCAGUUGUGACAUCAUCCCCCCGUUAGAGGGAAUUUCGUCCCGAAAUUCUGUUUGAAAGCUAGAUUUGAGAAUUGCUAGAAUAGGUGAGGGUACUUUUGUUUCAUUUGAUCUUCGCGUUCCCAUGUGAAUUCUGGCCCACGCUUUGCGUUCCACCGUACUUUCACGAUCGGGAUGCGACUUUGCUUAGUACGCUUCACCUCCCUGUCCAUGAUUUCGAUUGGUUCUUCGACGAACAGGAGAUUCUCAUUGAUUUCGAUUUCGUCAAGAGGAAUGACAAGGGUUUCAUCUGAUAGGCACUUCUUCAGAUUAGAGACAUGAAACACGGGGUGUACACCGUUUAGCUCCGCGGGUAGUUGUAGUCUGUAUGCUACUGGGCCUAUUCGGGCGACGAUUUCGAAAGGUCCAAUGUAUCGCGGGUUCAGCUUUCCCCGUUUUCCGAAACGUAUAACCCCUUUCCAGGGUGAGACUUUCAACAGUACUCGAUCACCGACCUGGAAUUCUAAGGGUUUUCGCCGUUUAUCGGCGUAGCUCUUUUGCCGGUCACGCGAUGCUUGCAAUCGAGCUCUGAUCUGAACGAUCUUUUCUGUGGUUUCGCGAAUGAUCUCCGGUCCUGUUAGUGCCCUGUCCGACGUAUGCGUUCUUGCUAGUUGGGUGUCACCUACUUCAGCCCAACAUAACGGUGAUCUACAUUUACGCCCGUACAGUGCUUCGAAAGGAGCCACCUUGAUGCUCGANUACGCCCGUAAAGUGCUUCGAAAGGAGCCACCUUGAUGCUCGAAUGGUAACUAUUGUUGUAUGAGAACUCGAUUAAGGGUAGGUGAGUAUCCCAAGACUUUCCGAAGUCUAUCACGCAUGCACGGAGCAUAUCUUCGAGUGUUUGGAUAGUUCGCUCACUUUGACCAUCCGUUUGAGGAUGAUAUGCGGUGCUCAUAUCAAGGGUUGUUCCCAUCGCCUUAUGGAGUGAUUGCCAAAAUCGGGACAUAAACCUACUAUCCCUAUCCGAGAUAAUAGAUUUUGGCACUCCAUGGAGUCUCACGAUUUCUCGUAGGUACAACCGUGUCAGUCUCUCCAUCUUGUAAGAUUCUUUGAUUGGCAGGAAAUGGGCAGAUUUCGUCAGUCGGUCGAUUAUUACCCAUAUGGUGUCCAGUCCGUCCGACNUUGGGUAGCUUGGUGACGAAAUCCAUCGAAAUCCCCUCCCAUUUCCACUCGGGAAUUUCCGGUUGCUGCAACAACCCUGAAGGUUUCUGGUAUUCCACCUUUACUUUGGCGCAUGUAAGGCACUUGCUGACGUAGGUCGCGAUUUCUGCCUUCAUGUUAGGCCACCAAUAGAGUUGUUUAAUAUCCAAAUACAUCUUAUCAGAACCGGGGUGAAUGGAGUAUCGCGUCUUAUGGGCUUCCUUCAUGACAACAUCUCUAAGCCCUCCCAGUUUAGGGACCCAAAUACGGUUCAUGAAGUAGUAUACCCCAUUCUCCCUUGUUUCUAGGUUCUUUUCCAUCCCGCGCAACGCCUCGCUAGCUCUAUUUUCCGUUCUCAUGGCCUCUGAUUGGACCGACGCGAUUUGAGUGGCCAGAUGAGAUUGAAUGGUGAUCGAGAGACUUUUCGUACGGCGGUUAGAGUACUCCUUCCGACUUAAUGCAUCAGCUACCUCGUUGGCCUUGCCUGGGUGGUACUUAAUCUCGCACUCAUAGUCGUUUAGCAACUCAACCCAUCUUCGUUGCCUCAUGUUUAACUCCUUUUGGUUUAAGAUGUGUUGGAGACUCUUGUGAUCCGUGAAGAUGGUGCACUUUGUACCGUAAAGGUAAUGCCUCCAAAUUUUUAGGGCAAAGACUACAGCUCCCAACUCUAGGUCAUGGGUUGUGUAGUUCACUUCAUGCGUCUUUAGCUGGCGGGAUGCAUAGGCUAUGACUCUACCACGUUGCAUGAGAACGCAACCUAAACCCUGAUUUGAUGCGUCGCAGUAGACUACAAAGUCUUCCGUUCCUUCAGGUAGGGAUAGUACAGGUGCGCUACAGAGAGCUUGCUUCAAGGUUCGAAAUGCGAUUUCUAGUUUGUCUGUCCAUUUGAAUGGUACGCCCUUUUGCGUAAGCGAGGUAAGUGGCUUGGCGAUCUUAGAGAAGUUUUGAAUGAAUCUCCUAUAGUAGCCUGCUAAUCCCAAGAAUUGACGAAUUUCCGUGGGCGUUGUCGGGAUUGCCCAACCUUCUACCGCUUUGACCUUAGAGGGAUCCACAUGGAUUCCAUCUCGGCUGACUACAUGGCCUAGGAAGUUCACGCUCCGCAGCCAGAACUCACACUUGGAGAGUUUGGCGUAUAGUUUUUCUGAUCGUAGAGUUUCUAAGACUUGUCGGAGAUGUUGGCCAUGCUCUUCCUUGUUUCGAGAAUAGACAAGGAUGUCAUCGAUAAAAACAAUGACAAAGUUGUCGAGAAACGGUCAGCAGAUUCGAUUCAUUAGAUCCAUAAAUGCGGCAGGGGCAUUCGUUAGACCGAAGGGCAUUACGACAAAUUCAUAAUGUCCGUAACGAGUUCGGAAAGCGGUUUUUGGAAUAUCCUCUUCCCGGACUCUGAGUUGGUGAUACCCGGACCGUAAAUCUAUUUUAGAAAAAUAACUAGCCCCUUGGAGCUGGUCAAAUAGGUCAUCGAUUCGUGGGAGUGGGUAGCGGUUUUUGAUUGUGAGUUUGUUUAACUCUCUGUAAUCGAUACACAUUCUAAAAGAUCCGUCUUUCUUUUUGACAAAGAGCACCGGAGCUCCCCAUGGCGAAUAACUAGGUCGAAUAAAUCCCUUAUCCAAAGUUCGCUGAGUUGGCCGGAUAAUUCCUGCAUUUCGGCAGGAGCCAACCGAUAGGGUGAUUUAGCAAGAGGAUUUGCUCCUGGGAUAAGGUCAAUUCGAAAUUCGACCUGUCUUUCUGGGGGCACUCCCGGAAGAUCUUCAGGAAAUACAUCCGCAAAUUCACAUGCCACUGGAAUGUCUCGAACGUUAAUCUCCCCCUUGGUCUUGUCCACCACAUGAGCCAGGAACGCCAGAUUGUUCCUACGUAGAUAUUUUUGUGCCUUGACACACGAAACGAGGCGGAGGUUCAUGCUAGAUUUGUCUCCGUAGACCACUAGGGUUUCGUGAUUUGGAAGACGAAGACGGACGGCCUUCUCGUGGCACAUAAUGUCGGCAUGGUGGGGGCUUAACCAGUCCAUACCGAUGAUCACGUCGAAACUCCUAAUUGAUACUGGCAUUAGGUCUAUUCGGAAGACGUGUUGAUUAAGAGUUAGGGUACAUCCGAUGUAGAUUUCCCCAGUGGAUUCGGUUUUCCCAUUGGCCAUUUCCACCGUAUAGGCUUCAUUUAGCUUUUGGGGAGGUUGUUUUAAUAAGUGUUUAAACUUAUUGCUUACGAAGCUUCGCUCCGCUCCGGAGUCAAAUAAGAUGCAUGCAUAAGCGUGGUUUAAGAGAAACGUAACGAUAACAACAGAGGGAUCCUGAAUAGCUUCCCCCUGACCCACGGUCAUCAUCCUUCCUGUUCCUCCAUUUCUUGAAUUGUUGUUGUUGGGACAGUCUCGGCGGACGUGUCCAGUCUUCCCGUAUCCGUAGCAGGUGUAGCUAGGCCCUGCGCUGUUGCCGCUGACAUGGGUGUUGUUGCUGUUGCGAGGGUUGUUGUUGUUGAUUCCCUGAUUUUGGUUAUGGGGAGGGUAAGCCUUGCAGUACUUUGCAGUGUGACCCCUUCGGUUGCAGCUGGUGCACUGAAAAUCCUUGCAUUCUCCAUAAUGAUGGAAACCGCACUUGUUGCAUUUGGGAAGAUUACCGGAAUAAGGUUUGGAAGUAUUUGAAGUGGCUGAGGUUGGAGCAUGUGGUGCGGCUGGAGCCGAUGCGGUNNNNNNNNNNNNNNNNNNACAGCAUUAACCGCCACUGUCUGCUGUUUCUUGGAGGUGUCGGGGCCCUGACGCCCCUUCCUCUUGUUGUUCCUUCCCCUCUUGUCAUCUCCUUCCUUCUUCUUCUCAGCCUCCACUGGUUUCUCUCCCUUUUUGUUAUUAUGGUCGUACAACCUCUUCGCCAAUCUCUUUGCACUGUCAAAUGUUUCUGGGUUUGCAGCUAUCACAUUCCCUUGAAUUGGUGAUGUGAGUCCCCAGAUGAAUCGCUCGAUCUUCUUUCCUUCCGAGGUGAUCAUACCCGGGCACAACAGAGAUAGUUCGCUAAAUCUCGAUAUGUAGGCAUCGAUAUUCGCGUUCUGCACAGUGAGGUUCCAUAGCUCUUGUUCCAUCUUCUGUAUUUCGCCUCGUGGGCAGUACUCUGCCAUCAACAUUUCUUUCAUUUCUGUCUAGGGGAUGGAGUUGGCUACAGGGAGCGUCAUGGAUUCUACAUUUCCAUUCCACCAGGUGAGCGCCUGAUCCACAAAAGCGCAAGCUGCGAACUUCACCUUCAUGUGCUCAGGGCAGUCGCAUAUCUCGAAUAUCGAUUCCACCUUCUCGAUUCAGCGCUUCAGAGUGAUCACUCCUCCAGUACCAUUAAAAGUUCGUGGUUUGGCGUUUGUGAAGUCCUUGUAGGUACACGUCUUGGUGGGUCCUUGAUUCAUUCCAUUGUUUGAACUUCCGGCUCCUUGCCCAUUGACUCCUCCAUUGUUCCCUUGUUGAAUUUGCGCAAUCGCUGCAGUGACUGCUGCUGAUACAGCUGCCUGAAAGGCGGCUGAGUCAACUUCGGGUGGGGUUAGUCCUGGGUUUCCGCGAGUAGUUGGGCGAGGCAUCUUUCUGUCACGAAACGGAAAGAUGUUGAGUGUACGUGGUUUCUAUGGGGUUGCGACCCUACUAACUAGGUGUAUGAUACGAACCUAAGCAUUUCUACCAUCGAGCAUACAAUCAUAACGUCUCAACACAUAACAACUGUGAACAUCAUAGCAAAGCACACAAAAGUUUAUUAAUAUUAUCCGCGUUUAGUACAGGAAAAUUUGCUCGUAAGAGCAUACAUAAGUAACACUAAUCCGACAGCAUAACGGCUCCAUGAGUAGUGUAGUCACUUAAACAUAGAGUCGGAGUACAUAACAUAGUUCCUAGUGAUCUACUAUGAUGAGUCUAUCCCUAGCCGCGAUGAGCUGCGUCCUACUAUAAUGGUGAAAUCAUAUGCCGAAGUGCUGAGCUAGCAGUUGCGCCAUCUCUGUCAUGUCUACAAUGACUUCAUCCCUCUCAACCUCUUCUCGCACGGCUCGUGCUUCCAUGGCGAACAGUUGUUGUCGUAAGUCGGCAAUCACGGCCUCUGGGGAGCGAUUUUCCAUCGCAGGAUUCACUGGCGGGACGUGGGGAUCCCGUUGCGCUUCGCUAACAGGAGAUGCGAGGUGACUAACGUCCGGGGCCUGAUCCUCCUUCAUGUCAUCGUCGGUCUCCUCGAACUCGUAGUCGGUGUCCAUGAAUUCGUCUGGUGCAAUGCCGUGGGCUCCCUCUUGAUUCCCUUCUGGUUCGCCUUCAAGUACCCCGUGUGCCUCAGGGGCUUGGAAGAACUGGAUGCCCUGAUGCUCUCCCUCCAUGACGACUGAGAGAAAGUAUGUGAAUAAGCUACCACUUUCCUAUGAUUCUAACGCUAUGGCACAAACUAAACCGACAUCCUCUUCUUGGUGGUAGGGGUAUAGUUUUAGGUUCCCUAGCUAUCCCGACCUCAUUGAGACGUGUAUUAGUUUUACUUUGGAGAGAAUGUAGUUGAUCAGGCUACAUUCACUCCUUGAUAUCACUAAGAACAGUCCCAAUUUAACCGAGAUACCAGCCUUAUUGUGUUUGAUUCGGCGUUAAGUUCCUAUUCCUAGUGCAAACAAGGUUGUUUUAUUUACUUGUUUUGUUCAGAGUUAUGUUAGUCCCUCUUUUUGGUUUAUAGUUGCAUAUCCGUGUGUGGCGAGAUAUGCUAGUUCACUAUAAACAAUGCUCUGAUACCAACCUGUCACACCCCCGAACCAGACGGCGGAAACGUCCGAGGGCUAUCGUGACUCAUUGAAUACCAUUACAAUGCAUAUACAUGAAACAUAACAUAAAACAUCACCAACAUUUGGAAUAGUACAACCGUUAGUGUUUACAUUCGUUACAUUGUUCAAUCGUUACAUUCUCAAAAUAACUGUUCAACUUCACUUAAACUACAGCAAACAUCAUAGAGUAUAAAUCAUCCAUCACCUUAUCUGUUACCUGAGAAUACAAGUAUUUUGAAAAACGUCAACAUACGAAAUGUUGGUGAGUUCAUAAGUAAAGUUUGAAAACCAAGUAAUGUUUGAAACCCAUCAGAAAAUCCGAUAUUUUCUAAUAAUAAAAUGGUAUAAAAAUAUGUGUUGAUCCAUGAGUAUGCAUGCUUGAAUUCUUAUUGAUGAAAGUGUAAUAGUUGUAAAAAUAUUUAGACCGGUAAUUCAUAAUUUGUAACUAUUGAAAACCCUAGGAAAACCCGACGUUUUCCUAUCAUUUUGUAUUACUUAGUUGUAUACCGUUGUUUCGUUUCGUUAGAGUGAAUCAUUGAGCUCUGGAGGCAUUGAGAAUACAAUGGGUGGUGAAGUGUUGUGACGUACGUCGACGAAAACAUCCGAUCGACAACCUUACAAGCGAUCCCUUACGCACCACUCGUAAUUCUUCACACAACUCAAUCCUCCCGGACUUGUGUAGUCCCACGACCGGAGGGAAGGAGAGAAGGUACGAAACCCUCGGUAUUUCCCCGCGUCGAUUGGGAUAAAUGCAAUCGCGAAGGGCCCAAAGCCCAAACCGCAAUCGUGAGUUACCGACUUUACUAGCAGCACUGAAAAACCCUUGGGGUCCAGCAGUAUGCCAUUGAAAGUCCUGUUACGUCAUGUCGGAUCGCUAAAACCCAACACUUCGUAAGUGAGAGAGAGACCUUCGUGCCUUAAGAUCAGGUCAUUGGGCUAGCUAGGCUCAACGAACAAGAUUUUACACUUUUGGGCCCAAAGAUAGUGCAUAGACGUCUGCGCACACUCGCAUGUAAUAGUAAUCGUUAUGGUUAUGAAUCGUGAUGUCGUAAUGUCAUAGUAACGUCGUGUUAGUGGUUUUGGAUUUUUAUUGGUUCGAGACCGAACCAAUUCGUAUAAUAACGACUUUUGGUAUUGUGAUAUAUCGUAUUUCGUCGAUAAGUGUGGUACCAUUAAUUGGUCAAAUUGAAUGUAUUAACUAGCCUUGAAGAUUUUCCGUUUUCAGCCACUCCUUAAUUAUGGAAUUUACUCUUUUCACCCUUUUAUAAAAAAAAACUUUCCGGUUUGGUCCUUAAACAAAUUUUCUUGACAAUUUUUAUACCAAAAAUUAUUGAAAUAAGUAUUUUCUAGCAUUUUUAUCAUAGAAACAGUUUAAGUCCUUGAAAUUACAGUUUUCUCGGUUAUAACACCUCUUUUUCGCAAUUUUUACAUUUUUGGCCCAAAUUGGAAAAUUUUUGCAACUUUGGUCCUUUUUAAAUUUGAAAAGCAUUUUGAACCCUUGAAAAGUACAUGGAACACUUAUAGUCCACUGUUUUACAGAAAAAUGCAGUUUUGGUCCUCCAAUUUAGAAAAUUUCGCAUAUUGGGCCUUAUUGGGCCGAAAAUGUCACCUUUAGCCCAAUAAGCUUGGAAUUUAUGUUUUCAAUCCUCUAAGUAGCAUAUUUUUAGAAAAAUAUAUUAUGUAAACUGUUUUGACUCAUCUCACCCAUCAGAUUUCGAGAUAUUGCACUUUAGGCCCUUAAACUUUGUAUUUUCAACAUUUCAUGUCAAAAAAAUGAGUUUUUAGUCCAAGUUAAGUGUUGUUAAGCUAUUUAGCCAUUUUCUUAAUAUACUUUGCAUGUGAUAGUCUAUUUUGUGCUAUGGUAAAAUAUAUGUCUCGGUUUUUAGCAUAUCACCCUAGAUCUAUCAAUAAAAUCAUACAAAACAUACAUGUAAGCAUAGAAAUCAACCACAACAUACACAUAAUGAUGGAUCUACACUUUUUCUUGUAUUCUCCCCCAUAAAAACUCAUAAAAAUCGAAAAUAAGGGGAUAUGAAACUCACUUUGGGUGUUGAUUCGGUUUUUGGAAGAAAGAAUGGAAGAAAUGAAGUAACUUUGGCCUUUGCACCCUUGAUGAAGUUUUCGAGCUUAUGAAGCUUUCUAAGGUGAAAAAUCACGAUUUUUGCAUGGAUUAGGAAGGGAUUUGAUAACAAAAAGAAUAUAAAUCAUAGAUCCAUGCGUAAUCUUACCUUAGAUGAAGAAUUUGUGGAAAUUUCCCCUUGAAUGCUUUCUAAAACUCGAGAUUUUGAGUGGACAGGGAGAAGUGUUCUUGAGUGUUCUUGAGAGAGUUUGAGAGAUUUUUGUGGUGUGUGUGUGUGCUAGUGGCCGAGAGUGAGAGAGAGAAGAGAAGAAGAGGUGAUAUUUGAGGUGAUGUGCAUGGAAGAAUGAGAAUAAUGCAUGGAUGUCCAAUGGAUAAAAAUGAGGUGGCAUGGGAAAGUCAAACCCUCCUCUUGGGUUUGAUGUGGGCCGAAAACAAGGAAGGAAAAAGGAAAUUUGGGCUUUUUGCUCCCAAGCCCAAUAUUGGAGUUAAUUUGGGUGAAUUUUAUCAUAAAAGAAUAUAGUAUGAUUUUUCCAUUUUUGUUGAACUAGUUUAGGGUAUUCAUGGAUCAAAGCUUUCAAUUCAUUUCAUUCUAGGCCCAAUAUGGCCCAAAAUGUUGAAAUAAAUUAGUGUGGGUCCAAUUAGAGCCCAAUUAGGGUUCUAAGCCCAUGAUAGUCUAAUUGGAAGCUUAUUGGUCCAUUUGGAUCCAAUAAGGGAGUCCUAGUCCAAAGUGGACUUAAACAAGGACUUCUAGGGUUUCCAAUUGUUUGGUGACUAUUUGU
rnacentral:lncRNA from 1 species